UUGCCUUUCUCUACAUUUUCCAAUUCUAAUAUUUCUUUUUUUAGAUGGGGCGACCAGAACUGCAUGCAGUUUUCAGAGUGUCAGUAUACCAUGGAUAUAUGUAGCGUCAUUAUGAUAUUUACUGUCUUAUUAUCUAGCUAUAUCUUAAUGGUUCCUAACAUUAUUAGAUUUUUUGACUGCCACAGAAUACCAAGCAGAUGUUUUCAACGAACUAUCCACAAUGACUCCAAGAUCUUUCUUCGGUGGAAAAAGGGAGAAUCAGCACUGAUGACGCGUGAGGUGCCCAUUUUACUGCAGCAGCUCUUCAUAGGAGUGACAUGGCCUGCAGAGAUUGAUGCGACCUCAAGAAGGAAAUGUCCAUCACUGCAGACCAGAGCAGCUCAGGGAGAGUCAGGGUGUCAGCAUCUGAAAUCUGCACAGGAAGGAUCAUCAGAGCUGAGAUGAGGGGUGCUGGUUGGAAGGUGCUAAUGGCUGCCAUCCACUG